AAACCCGGUGAUCUAGCCAUGGGCAGGUUGAAGGUUGGGUAACACUAACUGGAGGACCGAACCGACUAAUGUUGAAAAAUUAGCGGAUGACUUGUGGCUGGGGGUGAAAGGCCAAUCAAACCGGGAGAUAGCUGGUUCUCCCCGAAAGCUAUUUAGGUAGCGCCUCGUGAACUCAUCUUCGGGGGUAGAGCACUGUUUCGGCUAGGGGGCCAUCCCGGCUUACCAAACCGAUGCAAACUCCGAAUACCGAAGAAUGUUAUCACGGGAGACACACGGCGGGUGCUAACGUCCGUCGUGAAGAGGGAAACAACCCAGACCGCCAGCUAAGGUCCCAAAGUCAUGGUUAAGUGGGAAACGAUGUGGGAAGGCAUAGACAGCCAGGAUGUUGGCUUAGAAGCAGCCAUCAUUUAAAGAAAGCGUAAUAGCUCACUGGUCGAGUCGGCCUGCGCGGAAGAUGUAACGGGGCUAAACCAUGCACCGAAGCUGCGGCAGCGACGCUUAGGCGUUGUUGGGUAGGGGAGCGUUCUGUAAGCCGUUGAAGGUGAACUGUGAGGUUUGCUGGAGGUAUCAGAAGUGCGAAUGCUGACAUAAGUAACGAUAAAGCGGGUGAAAAACCCGCUCGCCGGAAGACCAAGGGUUCCUGUCCAACGUUAAUCGGGGCAGGGUGAGUCGACCCCUAAGGCGAGGCCGAAAGGCGUAGUCGAUGGGAAACAGGUUAAUAUUCCUGUACUCGGUGUUACUGCGAAGGGGGGACGGAGAAGGCUAGGCUAGCCGGGCGACGGUUGUCCCGGUUUAAGCGUGUAGGGGGGUGUU
rnacentral:rRNA from 1 species